rnacentral:snRNA from 2 species
GGAUGUGAGGGUGAUCUGUCUGUGACAUCUGCCACCCCAUUGACAGCCCGAGCUGAUUCGGCUGAUCUGGCCGGCUAGGCGGGUGUCCCCUUCCUCUCUCACCACUCCAUGUGUGUCCCUCCCAAAGCUGUGCUCGGUCGAAGAGGAUUACCAUCCCCGACAGAGGAGGACUGGUCUUCGGUCAAGGGUAUACAGGUAGCUGCACUCCCCUGCUAGAACCUCCAAACAAGCUCUCAAGGUCCACCAGUCCCACUCCCAGGCUAACCCAUUAAUCCACUGACCCAUUAAUCCAUGAAUGGAUUAAU